GCUGAGUGUGGUGGCGCAUGCCUGUAAUCCCAGCUACUCGGGAGGCUGAGGCAGGAGAAUUGCUUGAACCCAGGAGGCGGAGGUUGCAGUGAGCCGAGAUCACGCCAUUGCACUCCAGCCUGGGUGACAAGAGCAAAACUCGGUCUCAGAAAGGAAAAGACAGGGGCCCCCUGCAUCUUCAGGAAAACCAUGGGUAUGACACCACUGGCCUUGCUGUCUGACUAAUUUUUUUUUUUUUUUUUUUUGAGAGGGAGUUUCGCUCUUGUUACCCAGGCUGGAGUGCAAUGGCGCGAUCUCGGCUCACCGCAACCUCCGCCUCCUGGGUUCAGGCAAUUCUGCCUCA
rnacentral:SRP_RNA from 1 species